AGCGAACGCUGGCGGCGUGCCUAACACAUGCAAGUCGAACGUGAACGGGGGCAACUCCUAGUAAAGUGGCGUACGGGUGAGUAACGCGUAGGCAAUCUACCCCAGAGUCUGGAAUAACCGGCCGAAAGGCUGGCUAAUACUGGAUAGAGCGACGGAAUCCGUAAUUGGGUUUUUCGGGAAAGGGAGGUCGUAAGAUCCCUUGCUCUGGGAUGAGCCUGCGUCCCAUCAGCUAGUUGGUAAGGUAAUGGCUUACCAAGGCGAUGACGGGUAGCUGGUCUGAGAGGAUGAUCAGCCACACUGGAACUGAAACACGGUCCAGACUCCUACGGGUGGCUG
rnacentral:rRNA from 1 species